AUUUUCAGGCUGCACUCAGAGAAGCUGCCCUUGGCUGCUCGUAGCGCCGGGCCUUCUCUCCUCGUCAUCAUCCAGAGCAGCCAGUGUCCGGGAGGCAGAAGAUGCCCCACUCCAGCCUGCAUCCAUCCAUCCCGUGUCCCAGGGGUCACGGGGCCCAGAAGGCAGCCUUGGUUCUGCUGAGUGCCUGCCUGGUGACCCUUUGGGGGCUAGGAGAGCCACCAGAGCACACUCUCCGGUACCUGGUGCUCCACCUAGCCUCCCUGCAGCUGGGACUGCUGUUAAACGGGGUCUGCAGCCUGGCUGAGGAGCUGCGCCACAUCCACUCCAGGUGACUCACUGCAGUACCCAGGGACGGGGUAUCCAACAUGUGUCACUCCCUUGAUGCCUAGCCCUGCCCCUCCUUGAACCUCUCCGGCUGAGCUGGGCUGGGGGCUGGGGUCUGGGGUCUGGCUGUCACUCACAGGUACUGGGGCAGCUACUGGAGGACUGUGCGGGCCUGCCUGGGCUGCCCCCUCCGCCGUGGGGCCCUGUUGCUGCUGUCCAUCUAUUUCUACUACUCC
rnacentral:sRNA from 1 species